rnacentral:rRNA from 1 species
UACGUAGGGGGCAAGCGUUGUCCGGAAUCAUUGGGCGUAAAGAGCGCGUAGGCGGCCCGAUAAGUCCGCUGUGAAAGUCAAGGGCUUAACCCUUGAAUGCCGGUGGAAACUGUCGGGCUAGAGUCCGGAAGAGGAGAGUGGAAUUCCUGGUGUAGCGGUGAAAUGCGCAGAUAUCAGGAAGAACACCCGUGGCUAAGGCGGCUCUCUAGUACGGUACUGACGCUGAGACGCGAAAGCGUGGGGAGCGAACAGG